rnacentral:lncRNA from 1 species
CCUUGAGAUGAUCCGAUUGAAUAAAAUCUUUAAUGAAGUGUUCGGCUUAGUUGUGAAUAGCAUUAUAACCAUUCAGAAUGAUAUCCUAUAUUUUACAUAAGCUAUUAUUUUAUACAUCUUGGCAUGUAGGUUGGUGAAUAUAUUAACCAAUAAAAAAUCCAAUUUGGUAAUGAACACGUUGUUGGUAAGCACCAAGAGA